rnacentral:rRNA from 1 species
GAGUUUGAUCAUGGCUCAGAACGAACGCUGGCGGCAGGCUUAACACAUGCAAGUCGAACGCCCCGCAAGGGGAGUGGCAGACGGGUGAGUAACACGUGGGAACGUACCCUUUUCUACGGAAUAACCCAGGGAAACUUGGACUAAUACCGUAUGUGCCCUUCGGGGGAAAGAUUUAUCGGAAAAGGAUCGGCCCGCGUUGGAUUAGCUAGUUGGUGGGGUAAAGGCCUACCAAGGCGACGAUCCAUAGCUGGUUUGAGAGAACGACCAGCCACACUGGGACUGAGACACGGCCCAGACUCCUACGGGAGGCAGCAGUGGGGAAUUUUGGACAAUGGGGGCAACCCUGAUCCAGCCAUGCCGCGUGUGUGAAGAAGGCCUUCGGGUUGUAAG